rnacentral:rRNA from 1 species
UACGUAGGGUGCAAGCGUUAAUCGGAAUUACUGGGCGUAUAGCGUGCGCGGGCGGUUUUGUAAGACAGAUGUGAAACCCCCGGGCUUAACCUGGGACCUGCAUUUGUGACUGCAAAGCUAGAGUACGGUAGAGGGGGAUGGAAUUCCGCGUGUAGCAGUGAAAUGCGUAGAUAUGCGGAGGAACACCGAUGGCGAAGGCAAUCCCCUGGACCUGUACUGACGCUCAUGCACGAAAGCGUGGGGAGCAAACAGG